AUUUUUAUUAUACCCCCGCUUUAAAAAAGGGGGGUAUACUGUUUUACCUCUGUCUGUCAGUCCGUCCGUCCAUCAGUCCGUCCGUCAGUCAGUCCGUCCCAUGAAACUUUCGUCACAUUUUUCUCAGGAACUACACAUCCACCCUUUCUGUAAUUUGGUAUCAAUAUUUAUAUAUGUCAGCCACACCGUGUGAUGCGUUUUCAGAUUCACCACUUGACAACUUCCUGUUUACCGAACACUUGUCUGAUUUUACACAUGAUAGCCAAGUUGAAAAUUUUCGUCACAUUUUUCUCAGGAACUACAAUACAAGGAUUUCUGAAAUUUGGUUUCAGGAUUUAUAUAAGUCAGCUAUACCGUGUGAUGCGUUUUCAGAUUCAUCACUCGACUACUUCCUGUUUACCGAACACUUGUAUGAUUUUACACAUGAUAACCAAGUUAAAAAAUUUUCGUCACAUUUUUCUCAGGAACUACAAUACAAGGAUUUCUGAAAUUUGGUUUCAGGAUUUUUAUAAGUCAGCUAUACCGUGUGAUGCGUUUUCAGAUUCAUCACUCGACAACUUCCUGUUUACCGAACACUUGCAUAUUUUUACACUAUUAAUAUUAUCCACUUGCGGCGGGGGUAUCAUCCGUGAGCAGUAGCUCGCAGUUUCACUUGUUUUUUAUAUUUUUAUACGACACAACUCAAACCAAAAUCAUUAUUAUCGCAUCAAUAUUGUUUCGC
rnacentral:lncRNA from 1 species